rnacentral:rRNA from 1 species
UACGAAGGGUGCAAGCGUUAAUCGGAAUUACUGGGCGUAAAGGGUGCGUAGGCGGUUCGUUAAGUCUGUCGUGAAAUCCCCGGGCUCAACCUGGGAAUGGCGAUGGAUACUGGCGAGCUAGAGUGUGUCAGAGGAUGGUGGAAUUCCCGGUGUAGCGGUGAAAUGCGUAGAGAUCGGGAGGAACAUCAGUGGCGAAGGCGACUACCUGGCCCACUCUUGACGCUGAGGCGCGAAAGCUAGGGGAGCGAACGGG